CUCAAUGUCACUUGUCACUUAGAUUUGAGAGUCCAGGAGUCCAGAGACCCCAGUCAGCAGUCCCUCCAUGCAUGAUCCCCACACUUGAUUUUCUGAUAACCCAGGAGAGGAAAGAAGGAGAAGAGACAUUGCUUUUGACUUUCAGGGAGAAAGCAAACAGCUUAUACAUUCUCCAUCCACCUGGAGGAGGGGCACUGGGCAGUGGCACAAUGGGUUAAGUGCACAUGGUGCGAAGCUCAAGGACCAGCUCAAGAAUCCCAGUUCAAGCCCUCAGCUUCCCACCUGCAGGGGGGUCACUUCAUAAGAGUCACCAGGUUCCAGAUGCCAUCAGGAUGCUGGCCAGGCUUCCCUGGACUGAAGACCCCACCAAUGUGUCCUGGAGCUCCGCUUCCCCAGAGACACACCCUGUUAGGGAAAGAGAGAGGCAGACUGGGAGUAUGGACCGACCAGUCAACGCCCAUGUUCAGCGGGGAAGCAAUUACAGAAGCCAGACCUUCUACCUUCUGCAACCCACAAUGACCCUGGGUCCAUGCUCCCAGAGGGAUGGAGAAUGGGAAAGCUAUCAGGGGAGG